CAGAUGCUGCGGAAGACAUUCUCUUGACUUCCGUGUUAAUUAGCUCUUACAACGCUGUGACAAAAUACCUGGCAGACACUGAAAGAAGGAGGGUUUUAUGGUUUCAGAAGGUUCAGAAGUCUGUGCUUGCUAAGAUCUAUGUUCUUGGGCAAAACACAGCAGGAGCAUGUGGUGGAGGUUCUUUACCUUGUGGUGAACAAGGAGGAAGGGAAAGAGCUCACAGAAAGGGGCCAGAGCAAGGUAGAUCUCCUAAGGAAACUCCCUCAGUGCUGAACAAAAGGACCAGACACCACUGAAGACAAGACAAGUAGCCCAGUAAGAAGUGUCUGCUCCUGCUAGCACUAGUCUACUUCAACGAAUAUGAUGGGCAUUGAAACUCUAUAUGGAGUUUACUUCAAAUGUGGCAAAGCUAGCCAACUGGCAAGACACUGCCCUUGCCUCAACUGCUGACAGACAGUAUGCUGUACAAAUUUGACAAAUAGGACACCAAAGGCGACUGCUGGACUUUGCCACGACAAGGUAGGCCAGGCCUUCAAAAUCUCUGCUUUACAGAAAAGUCUGUCAGAUACUCUAGGCCUGCAGGCCAAAGAUGGAUGCUCCAAUG